rnacentral:rRNA from 1 species
GCCGGGGCUUCUUCUCCGACUACCGUCAUUAUCCUCGUCGGUGAAAGAGCUUUACAACCCUAAGGCCUUCAUCACUCACGCGGCAUGGCUGGGUCAGGCUUUCGCCCAUUGCCCAAUAUUCCCC